GAUGAAGAACGCAGUGAAAUGCGAUAAGUAAUGUGAAUUGCAGAAUUCAGUGAAUCAUCGAAUCUUUGAACGCACCUUGCGCCCUUUGGCUAUUCUGAAGGGCAUGUCUGUUUGAGUAUCGUGAACACCUCAACUCUCAUGGUCUGCCAUGAUGAGCUUGGACUUUGGGGGUCUUGCUGGCCUACUGUCAGCUCCUCUCAAAUGAAUCAGCUUACCAGUGUUUGGUGGCACCACAGGUGUGAUAACUAUCUACGCUUGUGGUUUUCUGCCAGGUAACCUCCAGUGAUGGAGGUUCGCUGGAGCUCACAAAUGUCUCUCCUCAGCGAGGACAGCUUUUUGAACGUUUGAUCUCAAAUCAGGUAGGACUACCCGCUGAACUUAAGCAUAUCAAUAAGCGGAGGA
rnacentral:misc_RNA from 1 species